rnacentral:lncRNA from 1 species
GGGACGGGUUUUCACUUUACACAGAUUGUUACCUCCCUUGAUAAUUUUGACGCCAUUUGUAACGUAUGAAAAACGUUUGAUCUCUGCUGAGACAUUGAAAGUAUUUAGCGCAAAUUUUACGGGUUCUUUGGAGAAAAAGGCGGCACGGAGCAAACGGAUAUGGAUGUAUCUUUACAAGUAGAACUACUCGUUUUCUUUAUUUUUGUUACGUGGCCGGUGUGUACAGCAGAAGUGUGCUGCUUUCCGAACCAAAUGCAAGGAAAUGUGUCUAUCUUGUCUGACCAUCCUGUCGCCUCUGGUAACGGACUGUUUUUUUAGGUAAAUAUUGAUAUAUCUUUUGACUGGACAAAGCAAAGGAUGCGAGAAUAUUUUCCUGCCACAGGCUUCUUACAACUGGCAUUUUUCAAAGAGGGUGUGGUCUAUCAAAUAGCAAAUUCAACCUGCGUCAAAGGAAGAAUUUCACCGUUGCCUAGCAGCGCAGUUUGUGUUCCAGAAGGAGCCAAGUUACUAAGAAACUACCGGCUCGGUGUAAAAGAAAAGCCAAUGUAGCGAUGACUACUUGGACCUAUGAGAACAUCACUCCAGGAAUCAAAGACCCAAAGGUGUUUGAUGUACCUAGGUUCUGUAAAUCUACAUCUACUAUCAUGAUGAAAGAGUCGCCGGCACAGGGGUUAUAUUUCGUCGGGAAUGUCAUCCUGGGAGGAAAAUGAACAUUUAGCUAUUACAGAGAAAGUGUCGAUAACAUAUGCCGUUUAACAUCUAUUUUAUAGAUAAUAAUGAGUGACAAAAUUUUAAUUUUUGCCAUAUGAAUUGGAUUUUUGAUUGCUACUUUUUAUUUGCUCGACACACCGCUUCCAGCAUCCGGUCUGUUAUACCAAUUAUAUAUGAAUUUUGUUCCUGCUAUUUAAUAGUGAAAUAAUAUGAAAAUGGUAUUACAUCACGGUCCGUAUUAAUUGUUCUUUGUUCAAGACAUACUUAAAGGUCCGAUACUAACACCCGAACGAGUAUUAUAUGAAAACCAUAGUUUGUAGCUGAUACUUCGUAUUUACUGAAAAUAUGACCCACUACAUCAGAUUUGACCGAACAGUCAUAAAUAUGUUCAAGAAUAACCAACAUAUAAACAAAAAGAAACAAAAAAACAAAAAAAAAAAAAAAAAACAUUGCCUAUUUCAGACCGAAAGUAUAUUUUCCGAACCCGUCGCGCAUCUUCGGAUUUUUUUUGAAGAAUGCUCCGAAACGAAGCUAUAAUUCAUAAAUAGAUCCAAAAUGUAUUAUAAAUCACGCACGAUAACUCAAACGAUAAGAUUAAUUUGUUAAUUACGAUUUCUUUUUCAUCAAAACGUUUCAAUACACAUAAUAUUUUAUAUUUUUGAAUAACAUUACAGUACGCAUUUAACAUAUUGUUGACAUCUUUUUGAGUUCAACGAUGCGUGAGAACCAUAACAAUAAAACAAUUAUUAUAAUAUAAAUAUGCUUUUGUUUAAAUUAUCGAGCGAGAGGAGUAAUAAUAAACUUUGAUAAUGUGGCAGUUGAGUCCAAUUAGUCCAGGGGUGUUCAAAGA